CACUCCUCCUCCUCCUCAGUCCUCCAAAAGCAGAGCGAAUAGAAGGAAGAGCUGUGAGAACGUAAACGGAAAGAAAAAAAAAAGAAGAUAAAGAAAGAGCAUCACAGAUAACAAGAGGAAGAGUGUGACACGGCGAACUUGACACAGACAAAAAAAUAAAAGAAAAGAAAGGAAAGAACGAACGAAGGAAAGAAAGAAAUGAAGGAAAACUGAAAGAGGACGAAUGUGACAGCGAAGUUGACAUAGACAUAUAGAAAAUUAAAAGGAACAAAGAAAGAAAGAAAGAAACAGAAAGAAACAAGGAAGGAAAGACUGAAAGAGACAAAAAUUGAAAGAGCAUGUGAGAGAAAGAAGAAAAAUAAGACAGAGAAAGGAAGAAAGAAAUACAGUAAAAGAAAGAUAAAAAAGGAAGUGGAAAGAAAAGAGACAAGAAAUAAAAUACAUAUCAAAGAGACAACAAAUUACAAAAGGAAAAGAUACAAAGGAAAAGAAGAAACAAAAAUAAGGAAAAAAAACAAGAGAAGAAUAACUCCCAAGAGACAGAAUCUGAAGAGAGGGAUGAGAAAUGUCAAAAGAAUGGAAAACACAGAAGUGGAUAAAGAAGAUACUGUGGCUAUUGAAAUCACUAGAUGGCAAGAAGGCAACAGGUCCAGAUCAAAUAUCCGGCCAGGUGCAGUGAACACUGACAAUGAACCAAUUCAUGACAUUAUAAGUUGUUCAAUUAGGACUGAAGAAGUCCCUGUGAUGGAAGGGGGCACAUGUGGUCCCAUCACAUGAGUGGAAAUAAACAAAAGCCUCUGAACAAUAGACCAGUUUCUCCAAUAAGUGUUAUGUGCACACUGUGUGACAAGGUAAUUAAAAGACAGUGGGUGGACCAUCCGCAAGGAGGUAAAGUUAAUUAGGAUUCAGACAAAUCUAAUGUUUUUAUUCAAGAGUAAUACAGGGGGUCUUCGACUUACGACAGAGUACUGUUCCUACAACACAUCGUAACCCGAUUUUAUAAGUAAUCAAAACAAACCCUUUAACAGAAGAAACUGUCAGCCCCAACCCUUAUAUCAAAGUGCCACAAGCACUUAAUGACAAACCUAUGCUAGUACAGUGGUAAAGUCUUAAUUAGACAGUAAACAUUUGUACUGAAGAGAGAUGUGCUUGCCUUCUUCCUCGGUCAAGCGCCGCGUGACAACGUAUUUUUACGCCGAGGUUGCAAAUAAUUCACGCAGGAAGUUCAUAAUUAUGGCAAAUGUCAUACAUCAAAACAAGGAUAUUUGGAUCAUUUAUGAGGGUUGCGUCAUAACCUCUAGACAUCACAGGUCAAGGACAUGGUAACCCAGGGACCCCCACUAGAUAAAGUACAGGAGAGACAGAUGGGCGAACUGCAUAUUUUUGAACCUAAAAAGGGCAUUGAUAAAGUUCCACAUAAAGAUUGCUGUGGAAACUAGAACAUAAGAGGAGGAUAAGGGAGAAAAAUGGCAGAAUGGAACAAAACUUACCUGACAAACAGAGAUGAGAACCAUGUUGAGAUGAUGAAGAAUCAGAUUGGAAAAAGAUCACAAGUGGAGUUCCACAGGGAUCAGUGUUAGUGCCAACAAUGGUUUUGAUAUACGGUACAUAAAUGAUAUGCCAGAAAAAUAAAGUUACAUGGUAAAUGGUAUGGAAGGGUUUUAAAUGAGAGGAUGAAGAAAGUAACUGAGAAAAGUGUAGGUGAUGAACAAGAGGGUUUAGGAAAGGGAGGGGUUAUGUAGACCAAAUAUUUGCACUCAAAAUGUUAGUUGAAAAAUUCAUAGAGAAGGAUAGGAGGCCGUUUGCUGCAUUCAUGGACCUGGAGCAGCCGUAAGAGGCAUAUAGUGUAAAAGGGGUGACCAAACCAAAUCGGACGGUAUUGAGUUUUUAGCAGCUCCUGAGAGCUGAAUUACCUAAGAGGGGAUGAUUCAUUAGGCUAAAGUUGCGUGAUUUUUCUACCAAACUCGCCCGGCGUGGGGGGUGUAGUGUGUGGCAGUCUCUUUAAAAGAGGCGAGCGGCUUAGCCAAUGCGGUGAUCGUUCCCUACUCCCAUGGCUGUGACGUCACGCAGUCAGCAUCCUUCUGUACCUAUAUUUUCAACAUAAACCAUAAAGGGAAACUGACCUUUUUUAUUAGACCUAUAGAAUGAGGUUCUAUUUUUUAUGUUUCGAGUUAUUUUUCAUUAACAUAAUCAAAUAUCCCUUGAUGAAAGUUAUCAAAACCAAUCCAAAAAUAAUCAAACACAAAAGGAAAGUGUCCCAAAACCUAGAAUUUCUAGACACAUAGCUCCAAGAAUCUAUGUUUUCACCCUGAAAGGAAGGCUAAUUCUUGUUAUCAUGGUAAUUUUCUUUAUGUAGCCAAAUGGCUUUUGUUUCAAGCUUUUCAUUAACACAUAAAAUGCUGCAAUCCAGCUAUAAAUACCAGUUACAGACAAGUUUGAAAACUUUUCCUUAACCCAUAAACUGCGCAAUUGAGAUUCGGGAAUAGCUCCUGGGUGCGCAAUAAAUGGCAAAAAAUUAACCUGCUGGAAAACGAUUUUUAGUAUUACAACACCCAAGGGAGACAUGUUGAGCACCAAAUACAGGUAACUCGAUUUACGCGAGUUUGGUUUACGCGUUUUUUAAAUAACGCGGGGUCCAAAAUCCAGAUAAAUGUUUAAUUUAGGCGUUUUUUUUUCACUUAUACGCGAUAUUUUAUGGAGUGGCCACCAUAUGUCUCACGCAACUGGACUCACACGGCUGAGUUCUUCCCGCGCGCCACUUGAACAACAAUACAGUACCUACGCUGCCACGCUACUCAACAAUAGGGGUGGGCAGGUACCGGAACCAGUACCGGUACUAACGGUACCAGCAAUACGGUACGGUACCGGUACCAGACUGCUUGGUACCGAAUACUAGCCAGCCCCUCAUGGUGUCCCUCAUUUCUUUCUCACACGAGAGAGGCUGAGAAUGAGUGCCCGAGUGGAUAUCUCGGUUCUGGUGACACGCGGCAUGCAGCUGUUUGUUGUGUGGGUGUGGCUGUGUGGUUUGUAAACAAUGCAAAUGGCGGCCGGGCUGGGACUGCGUGAAAUAACUCCUCGUACAAGACUCAUGAUGUACAGUUUCUGAUAUCAUAUUCACCCCAUUAUUCUCACUAAUAUUAAUAAUUGAUAAUGAACACAUGGACAUUUUUUUUCCAAUAUGAUUUUUUAUGUAGCUUGUACUGCUCCUUAGUCAUAGUCUUAAGCCACCUGUGACAUCAAGAUCAAGAUCAUACAAAUGGCGCCCGACGGAAAAACGGGAUAACGGCAAGGCAUGGACGAUCUUCCACCGAUUUAGUCUUUGUAUAGUAGUUAUUAGAUCGCCCUGUAUUCUAUGGUAAAAUAUUAUAGGACAGCUACGGACUAUGAAGGAUUAUAAACAAUAAUAAAGGUAAGUUUGCCGUUGUUAUUGGAUAAGACGAAAAAUAGACCCUUAAAAACAUCCCAAAGAAGAAAAAAAAUAAAUAAAAAAUUGUACAUUCAGCGUAUAACGCGCAGGGCUUAACUUUCAGGCAUUUUUUAGGUGAAAAAAUGCGCGUUAUACGCCGAAAAUUACGGUAUUUAUUUUUCGACAGAAAUCUACCUCUUGUUUAAUUUACAUUGUUUUUGAAUUAAGCGACCUCUUCAAGAACGCAACACUCGCGUAAAUCGAGUUACCUGUAGUGCAAAAAAAAUAAAAUAAUAAUAAUAAUAAUUCACUUAAUGUGGCAAUGAUGGCGGGAUAAAGGUUUCGGAUAUGAGGCGACUUUGGGAGCGCUGGUAGUGACGGGGUAGAUAGGACGGCGGUAGAAGGAAGAUGACACACGGCACAGUCACAUCUGAACAUUCUCUUGCCACUAAUUAUUCAUUUCAGUUACAACAAACAAAAUAUAUCACAGGAAACAUCACUUUGUCAAUUUCGAUAAUCAACCUCUUGCGCAUCAUUAUCAAGAGGCCAGUCAUUAGUCACACCAGCAAUAUUCUUGUCAGUUAUGAAUGUCUGGCACAAAAUCUGAUCCAUCUGACCAGAUGGAUGGAGUACGCGUUGUCUCGCGUCUCUGCGGCUCCUGUUCUUCCUCUGCCUCCCACUCCUCUCCCACACCAGCUGACACCCCUCCCUCACUCAGUUCAUUAGCCGAGUCUUCUCUCAUAACCCCAUUGUCAUUUUCCUCAUCUUUCUGCCACUCUGAACCAUCGGACAGUGAUGAUGGUGUCAAUGAGUGACUAGGCUAGCUAGUAAUACGCACUGUUGGAGAAGCACGCGUGUCUGUGACCUUGAGCGCCAGAAGCAUGCUCACGCUUGCCACGCUUCCUCAGACCAGCGAAUCUGAUGGUUGAAUGCGAUCUGAAUCACUGUCUCUUUCAAAUUUGUCUACUACAAUCUUUCUCUUUACCAAUACUUUCUUUUUACCCCCUCCCAUGCCUCCCCCUCAGUCAUGACCGCAGGAGCUAAAUGAGACUGAUUGGCAUCAGUAGAUGACAUACUUCUACUCUCCAUGGCUCCUAAAGAGCAACUAAUUAUGAUGAUGGUGACUACAUGGUGCGAAAGAAGGAUGAUGUUGCCACACGAGGUUCAUUGGAAUAUACUUUGGCAUCACGGGAAAUAUAAAUAUUCACCUUGGAACACGUGUCAUCUUAAGAUGUCUGGCGCAGUCUAACUCAUAGCAUCUUGAGAUGUCUGGCGCAGUUUACGGAUUAAACGUGAUUUUCUCAAAACUAUAAAAAUGGCAGGUCGCCCAUUUUACAGUAAUUGCCUCAUAUGACAGGGCUGACAGGAAGGGGUUGUGGGAUGUUCUAUGGAUAUAUGGUGUGGGAGGGCGUUUGAUGGAGGGAAUCCGAUCCUUCUAUGAGGAUGUAAGUGCCUCUGUACGCGUGAAGGGUGAGUUGAGUGAAAGUUUUGGUGUUGGUGUGGGUGUGAGACAGGGGUGUGUAAUGUCACCAUGGCUUUUUAAUGUUCACAUGGAUGGUUGUAUGAGAGAAAUGAAAGCCAGAGUGGGGGAGCUUGGUCCAAGGCUGAAAGUGAGAGGUACGGAGGAGUCAUUGGUUGCGGCCUGUUUGCAGAUGAUGGUGUUGUUGGCAGGGAAUGAGGGGACGAUGCAGAGGAUAGUGGAUGAGUUUGACCAGGUGUGUAGGAGAAAACCGAGAGUGAAUGCUGGAAAGAGUAAGGUUAUGGUAUUUGAGAGGGCAAGAAAACCGGUCAUUGAUUUUGCAAACCCUUACAGACUUAAGAGCAGAGGGUACACCACCAAGUGUGGGAUAAGGUUAGGGGAGGGGAGAAUGGAGGAAGUGACUGAGUUUAAAUAUUCAGGGACUGUUUAAAGUAAGCAUAGCAGUAUGGAAGGUGAAGUGAGGGAAAGAGCAGUGAAGGGUAGACAGGUGGUGGGUGCAUUGGAGUUUUGAAAGGAAGAAGAGUGAGCAUGGAGGUAAAGAGGGGAAUAAGGAACAGUAUUAUCCUGCCAACUCUGUCAUAUGCGUCAGAGACGUGGACAUGGAAUGCAGCAGAGCAAUCGAGAAUACGUGCAGUGGAAAUGAGUUAUGUAAGACAUGCAUGUAGUGUGUCAUGAUGGGAUGGAGAAAGUAAUGAAAGUGUGUAUGAGCGGUUUGGUAUGGGUGCGACAGCAAAAGGAGUGGAGUGUGGAGUGGGUGAAGCGUGGUGCAUUGAGGUGGUUUGGACACGUGAUGAAAAUCGGGGAGAAUAAAUUCGUGAAGUGUGUGUAUGAGGGAAGGACUGAGGGAGGGGGCGUCAGGGGAAGACCACCUGUGAAGUGGAUCAAUUGGGUGAGUGACUAUUGGAGCGAGAGUUGGAAGUAGCAGGAUUGAAUGUGCUGAGAGGGAGUGCCAGAACAGGGAGAGAUGGAGACAUUUCUGCCGCGGCCAACCCCUGGAGGGAAGUUCCCACCAAUAGCAAGGCCUCAGAGAUAUAGAUAGAUGGAUGGAUUAAAUGGGUAUGUUUGCAGAUGACACCAAAUUGCUUAGAAAAAUAAAAGAUGAUGAUAAUUGUAAUGAGCUGCAGGAAGAUUUAUAUUAGAUACAUGAAUGGAGUAAAGAAUGGGAAAUGGUGUUUAACACCUUCACUACGGCCGGGUGAAAACAGCGCCCCGCACCAUAUCCGAGAUCGCCGCGUGCUCCAAAUUUCAAAUGUCGCUAUUGAAUACAACCCUCCUACUAUCUCUAUCCUAUAUUUCAAUCCAAAGCUGGAUGUUGCGCCUACGUGCGCAACGAUAUCACUUGCUCUUGUGCCCACGACCUUGACUCUUCAGAAUUUUCCAUCAUCUGGCUAAGACUUCAUUGUCAUUCUAUUACUAAAUACAUCUGUGCUGUUUAUCUCUCACCUAACUCUACUAACUAUGUAAAAUUCUUUGACUAUUUGAAUUCUAAAGUGGAGCACAUCUUGUCUCACUCUCCCUUCGCUGAAAUCUCCAUCUUGGGAGAUUUCAAUGUUCACCACCAGCUUUGGCUUUCAUCCUCUUUCACUAACCAGCCUGGUGAACAAGCCUACAACUUUGCUCUCCUCAACGACCUAGAGCAGUUGGUUCAGCACCCUACACGUAUUCCCGACCGUCUUGGAGACAGGCCCAACAUUCUAGACCUCUUCCUUACCUCUAAUCCUUCUGCUUACUCUGUCAAACAGUUCUCUCUGUUGGGCUCCUCCAGGCACGUGCAGAGGGGGGGUGCUAGGGGUGCCCAAGCACCUGCCCCUUUUGCUCCUGUUUUAAAAGUGCCCUUUUCAGAGAAAUGUAAUACAGGCCUGUGCCCCGCCCGUUCGAUGUCUCGCAGGAUUGACACGACUUCAUUACAUAUUUCGCUUAAUUUACUAUUGCCUCAACUUAUAAUUAGUUCCAUACAUGUCUUCAUUAUCAGCUUAAUUAAUUGUCCCAUUCAGAGCUGAAUAUAGUCCCCUCCCAAUCAUAAUUAUAUUAUUCCCUAGUCUUCUACUGAUAAUCAGUACAGUAGACUUUAUGUUCAUAUAAAAUAUUAGCCUGCUGGUACCUAUGACAGUUUAAACAAAUUUGAAAGGGUAUUGAGCAGAUAUAUGUUUUAUUCUCCUUCAUUACUAUAUUUUUGCCCUUUUUUUCACUUGAGCACCUGCCCUGAAAAAGUUCUCUGCACGUCCCUGGGCUCCUCUGAUCAUAACCUUAUUUCUGUUUCCUGUCCUAUCGCUCCUGUACAUCCUCUGCACCCACCGAAGAGGCGAUGCUUCUGGCAUUUUGCUUCAGCUCGGUGGGACGACCUGAGGAUGUACUUUUCCGAUUUCUCAUGGAAUGAUUACUGCUUCCAGGAGAGAGACCUCUCUGUGUGUGCCCAGCGCAUCUCAGAGGCGAUUGUCUCUGGAAUGGAGGCAUACAUUCCAUGUUCUUUCUCUACUCCUCAUGCUAAAAAGCCUUGGUUUAAUCAUGCUUGUUCUCGUGCUAUUAAAGAUAGAGAGGCAGCUCACAAAAGGUUCCAGAGCCUUUGAACUCCCACUAACUAUGACCUUUACAUUUCAGCCCGGAAUCGUGCCAAAUCUAUUCUCCGACUUACCAAAACUUUUUAUCAAUAGAAAAUGUCAACACCUUGCUUCUUCUAAUUCUUCCUGUGACUUCUGGCAUAUAGCCAAAAAUAUCUCCUCCAAUUUCACUUCUUCCUCUUUCCCUCCUCUCCUUAACCCUGACGGCAGCACUGCCGUCUCAUCUGUCUCUAAGGCUGAACUCUUUGCUCAAACUUUCUGAAAGAACUCCACCAUGGAUGAUUCUGGGCAUAUUCCUCCUACUCAUUCCCCCUCUGACUCCUUUAUGCCUGUUAUUAAGAUUCUUCCAAAUGAUGUUUUCUAUGCCCUCUCUGGCCUCAACUCUCAGAAGGCUUAUGGACCUGAUGGAGUGCCUCCUAUUGUCCUUAAAAACUGUGCUUCCGUGCUGACACCCUGCCUGGUCAAACUCUUUCGUCUCUGCCUAUCAACAUCUACCUUUCCUUCCUGCUGGAAGUAUGCCUUUGUACAGCCUGUGCCUAAGAAGGGUGACCGUUCCAAUCCCUCAAACUACUGCCCUAUAGCUUUACUUUCCUGUCUAUCUAAAGCUUUUGAAUCAAUCCUUAACCGGAAGAUUCAAAAGCACCUUUCCACUUCUAACCUUCUAUCUGAUUGCCAGUAUGGGUUCUGCAAGGGGCGUUCUACUGGCGAUCUUCUUGCUCUCUUAACUGACUCUUGGUCAUCUUCUCUUAGCGGUUUCGGUGAAACUUUCUCUGUUGCGCUAGACAUAUCGAAAGCCUUCGAUAGAAUCUGGCACAAGUCUUUGCUUUCUAAACUGCCCUCUUUCGGAUUCUAUCCCUCUCUCUGUUCCUUUAUCUCCAGUUACCUUUCCAGCCGUUCUAUCUCUGCGGUGGUAGACGGUCACUGUUCUUCCCCUAAACUUAAAACAGUGGUGUUCCACAGGGCUCUGUCCUAUCACCCACUCUCUUCCUGUUAUUCAUCAAUGAUCUUUCCAUAACAAACUGUUCUGUCCACUCAUACGCCGACGAUUCCACUCUGCAUUAUUCAACUUCUUUCAAUAGAGGACCCUCUCAACAGGAAGUACACGACUCCAGACUGGAGGCUGCAGAACGCUUAACCUCAGACCUUGCUAUCAUUUCCGAUUGGGGCAGAAGGAACCUUGUGUCCUUCAAUGCCUCAAAAACUCAAUUUCUCCACCUAUCAACUCGACACAAUCUUCCAAACACCUAUCCCCUAUUCUUCGACAACACUCAGCUAUCACCAUCUUCAACACUAAACAUCCUUGGUCUAUCCUUAACUCAAAAUCUCAACUGGAAACUUUACUCUCCUCUCUCGCUAAAUCAGCUUCCUCAAGGUUGGGCGUUCUGUAUCGUCUCCGCCAGUUCUUCUCCCCCGCGCAGUUGCUAUCCAUAUACAGGGGCCUUGUCCGCCCUCGUAUGGAGUAUGCAUCUCACGUGUGGGGGGGCUCCACUCACACAGCUCUUCUGGACAGAGUGGAGUCUAAGGCUCUUCGUUUCAUCAGCUCUCCUCCUCCUACUGAUAGUCUUCUACCUCUUAAAUUCCGUCGCGAUGUUGCCUCUCUUUCUAUCUUCUAUCGAUAUUUCCACGCUGACUGCUCUUCUGAACUUGUUAACUGCAUGACUACCCCCCUCCCGCGGCCCCGCUGCACACGAAUUACUACUCAUGCUCAUCCCUAUACUGUCCAAACCCCUUAAGCAAAAGUUAACCAACAUCUUCACUCUUUCAUCCCUCACGCUGGUAAACUCUGGAACAAUCUUUCUUCGUCUGUAUUUCCUCCUGCCUAUGACUUGAACUCUUUCAAGAGAAGGGUGUCAGGACACCUCUCCUCCUGAAAUUGACUUCUCUUUCGGCUACCUCUUAUGAUUUUUUUUAGGAGCAGCGAGUAGCGGGCUUUUUUUUUUUAUUAUUGUUUGCUUUUUUUUGUGCCCUUGAGCUGCCUCCUUUGUUGCAAAAAAGAAAAAAGAAAAAAAAAAAAGAAAAAAAGUUUUCAGCCAUAAACUCAACAUAAUAUGAAAAAGUGCAGAAUUAAAUGGUGCACGUAAAGAAACUCACUACGACCAGGCCAAAACAGCGCCCCGCGCCAUAUCCAGGAUCGCCGCACACGCUAACUCUCAAAUGUCGUUUGGAAUAUAACAAGUUUUCAGCCAUAAACUCAACGUAAUCAUCAUGUAUUAUAUAUGAAAAUAUGCAGAAUUAAAUGUUGCACAUAAAGAAGCAUAAAUUAAUUGAUAAUUUUGAGAUGUAUGCAUAAAUAUAAAGAUAAAAUAACUCGUAUAUUGACUAAAGCGAGCCAGGACGCAGUAUGCGCGUCCUCGUAUGUGGUACGGGGCACGCAAAGACACAGUAUACACGUCCUCGUGUUGAAGGGGUUAACAAAAAGAAACGUCAAAAUGAAAAUGUGAAAAAGUAAAACUAGACCAUGAGGAAUGUAUAGGGUGGGAGGAACAAUCAUUGACAUAGUGAAUGAAGAAAAGGACUUGGGAAUCAUAAUACAAGAUACACUGACACCAGAGAAGCACAUAAAUAAGAUAUUGGGAGAAACAUAUAGUUUGCUGCAAAAUAUUAGAGCGGUAUUUCAGUGUUUGGAUGGGGACAUGAUGAAAAUAAUGACCACAUUGGUUAGACCAAGGCUAGAGCAUGCAGCGGUUGUUUGGUUACCACACAGGAAAACGGAUCAAAGGAUUGUAACCAAGAUGGUACCAGAACUAUCAAGCUUGUCAUACAAGACUAGAUAGCAGUAAUAACAUUCAAAGAAAGAAGACAAAGAGGAGACCUGAUAGCAUUGUACAGGAAUACAAGUGGAAUGAAUGUCGUGGUUAGAAAUGACUAAAUCAAGAUGGGAAGGAGGAGGCAACUAAGAGGACACAGCAAGAAACUGAGAAAGGGGACUUUUCUUAAAGAUAUAAAGUUCAGUUUUCCAUACAGACAUGGCUGAAGUGGGCAGUAUUCAUAAAUUGAAGGAAAAAUUGGACAAAUAUAUUUUGGGAGACAGGACUGUCCGAGCUUGAGCUUAGGCCCUGUACACUACAAAUAGAUAAAUAUACACACACAGCCUGCCCUGGAUUCCCCAUCUGGGCUAUAUUUUCUGUUCUCUAUGCUAGUCAAUGCUGCCCUCCACAACCUACUCUCUCCCACAUACAGCAACACAGCACAACACCUCAGAGGUGAAUCUUCACGUGUUUGGCAAUCUCACCUCUGGUCAUAAAGCGCUUCCCACAAGCAUCACACUUGAACCCUUUGUGGCCAGUGUGUCUUAUGCUGUGUGUCUUCAGGUAGGACUUUGAAAGGAAUCUUUUCCCACACACUUCACAUUCAUGAUUUCUUUCACCAGUGUGUGUAGGGAUGUGUCUGUUGAGGUGACUCUUCCGAUUAAAUCUUUUCCCACAAACUUCACAUUCAUGAUUUCUUUCCCCAGUGUGUGUAAGGAUGUGUCUGUAGAGGUUACUCUUCUGAUUAAAUCUUUUCCCACAAACUUCACAUUCAUUAUUUCUUUCACCAGUGUGUGUAGGGAUGUGUGUGUUGAGGUGACUCUUCUGAUUAAAUCUUUUCCCACAAACUUCACAUUCAUGAUUUCUUUCAUCAGUGUGUGUAAGGAUGUGUAUGUUGAGGUGACUCUUCUGAUUAAAUCUUUUCCCACAAACUUCACAUUCAUGAUUUCUUUCACCAGUGUGUGUAAGGAUGUGUAUGUUGAGGUGACUCUUCUGAUUAAAUCUUUUCCCACAAACUUCACAUUCAUGAUUUCUUUCCCCAGUGUGUGUAAGGAUGUGUAUGGUGAGGUGACUCUUCUGAUUAAAUCUUUUCCCACAAACUUCACAUUCAUGAUUUCUUUCACCAGUGUG